GUUUACUGUUUGGGAACUAGAAACACGGACUUUAGAUUUCAUAUCGACAACAACGUCUCUUCAAGGGAGCCCACUGUCAGUCGCAUCAGAUGUUCCCAAUCAUGCCAGUGAUUUCUACGAUCAACUUUGUACGACCAACCAAGCUUGUGUGGCUGGGUGAAUAGUUCGAGAGGAUUUAUUUCUACUGACUGGAGAAGGGACAAAAACUGGUUACCGGCGCCUUAAAGCGAGUCGCUUCAGACAGAUGCGGCUGGACAGACAUAGUUGGCAGCUCGUACUGGAGAAAGAAAACUUAUCUCAA